UGCAUCUGAAGCCUGACGAGGAUGAGAACCUCCGGGGGCAAGAGGUUCGACUCGAGCGCAGCGAGAGAACGUUGCGUCAUCAACGGCCCGCAGGGCGAGCCACGCAGUGGCGAGUCAUCCUCUAUCACCGACCA
rnacentral:sRNA from 2 species